UCCCGAACCAGCCGUGUCCCGAGAGGACGU
rnacentral:sRNA from 1 species